UGCAGAGCAAUCUAUGCUCUAAAUAUAUAUAGUUAUAUACCGUCUUUGGCUUUCUAUAUUUUUAUUUUCCAUUUAAGAUGGGUUGCUUUAAGAAUCUUGUCUUAAACAUGGUUUUGCUAUUUGUGAUUCUCUUAUCAAUGAAUCUCGCAAUAGCAAGACAGCCCCUUUGGAUAUCAGAGCCUCACUACACACAUGGACGCCACCUUCUGGAGCCACAACCACCAAGAGGCUACAAUUAUGGCGUCCCUGAGGGAGAGUGAAGCGGAGCUGGGUUGGGUUUCAAGGAGAAAAGUUUACUGUGGAGAAGCAGAUGUAUAACUGCAUAUGUACUAUGUUACAUUGUUUUGGAAUUACGAUUUCCUUUGAGUGUCAUCAAUAAUGUUAAUAAAUUCAGCUCAACUGUGUUAUUUUCCAAUUUUUUUAAUUUUUUUUAUCGUAUUAUUACCAUAUAUUUGGUAAGCGAUAUAGUUCUUACGAGUUAUGAAAAGAAUGUUGGAUAUGGACAAUGGCGCCAUGGCUCGAUGAAGGUUCGUUCCUGGAGU